UUUGGGGAGGAGGCGCUGUCGGUAGCCGUCUUGGGUCAGUUUGGAUCUUGACAGCUUGCGGCGAGGAUUGCGGUCUCGAAUCUUCUCAAGAACACGCAGAAAUCGUUCUCGGAGACGGAUUAAGGUGAUGUAUCAUCAUUAUAGUGAGAGUUCAGGACUGGAAGCCCCCUGAUUGCUGAUGAUGUUUGUGAGAUGAUCAUGAAGGCAUGGCAUGAUAUAGAUGGAGGUUGCAAGGUGAUAGAUGGUGAAUGAGAGAUUAGUUUGGUGUGUUGCAGUGGGAAGAAGCUAGAGACAUGACGAAGGAAAGGCUUGCAGCGUUGAUAAGACAUGGGCUCACUGUAGUCUUUAUUGUUCAAGUCUACUAAUCAUGGUUUAUUUCUUUUCUGUUGUAGGUCUUUUGGGUAGGUUUUGAUUUAUUAGAUUUGCAUUUCAAAUUUAGAGUUUGAGAGUGAAGGAGCGAGGAACCAUGUAAACCUAUGGUCUAAAGAAGUACAUGCUUUGUAAUUAGCAUAUUGUUGGAUUUGUU